CAAGAAGUAUGGUUUCACCUGUCUCGUGGCAAGCAACAAUUGUCUUAAGGCCGUCGUUGAUUGCUAACUACCCAUUAUUUUAUUUGAAUUUUCACGAAUAAUGGCAGUGGAAAGCUGGAUGCCAAGAAAACGGUUGAUUUGCGAAUGGACUUUUCGAGAGUUGUGCGAAUAGGAGCAGUAAAAGAUUCUACUAAAGAAGAGAAAUACUUACAGUUUCAAAAUGAGUGGAUGCUGGUUUGUUAGUCAGUUGCUUUCUGCCAUGGAAGAAAAAAAAUUUGUUACAGCAAAACCUGUACGACCGCAACAGGAGAAACCAGGAAUUCAGACAACAUAGAAACAAUCUUCCAACAAGUGUUAUUUAGUUUAAAAUUGUUUGCAACCUAGCCAAUGUUCAUGUGUUCAACUGUGUCAAAGGUAAUCUAUCAUGCAUUCACAAAUUUGUUGAUUAUCUGUUAGUAACAUAGUGAUCGCAAAACUUUAGCUCUCUGUGGAGUCUAUUAUUAAAAUUUUUCAUUUCAA